UUUCAUUUUAGGGAGCUACCAUUUGAUUUUUAUGGGGGGCUAGGAUGAAAAUUUUUGUCCUGCAUUUUUUUUAGUUGUAAUCUCUGUCCUGCCUUUUUAUUUUUCACUCUAUUCGGUCCUGCCUUUUUUUUAUUAGUUUAUCCUAACUUUUUUACCUAAAUUGUCAUCCUGCAUUUUUUUUUUUGCAAAGUGUCUCAUCCUGCCUUUUUUUUUACUCAAAACUCCUGUCCUGCCUAUUUUUUUCAAAUUUCAUCCUAGCCCCCCCAUAAAAAUCAAAUGGUAGCUCCCUUAUUUUGUAUUUUGAUGUUUGACUUAAAUAUUUAUUUCUUCUCAUUUGAUAUAUUUCUUUUCGGUCUUGUAGUCAAACAGUUCUAAAAUAUUAAAUUACGUUUCCGUUCCAGAAUAAAUAGAGGGAAUUGUACACUAGCUAGAGAUUUUAUGAUUUCGGGUUUAUAAAGAGAUGGAGUUCAUUUUGAUAGCGAUAUUUAACCAGAUGGCUAAUCCGAGGGGUAUUUUGGAGUAACGGUCGUCAAUCUACGGAAUUG
rnacentral:lncRNA from 1 species